UCAUUGAAAAAGCCCUAUGACAUUACCUCGUUUUGUUUUCAGUUAUUAUCCUCUGUUAGGAGGCACAUUGCAGCAUUCCUAGCUUAAGGACACUAGACAACGAGAGACAUGGAUAACCACAAGAGUAUCUCUAGUCAAGUUGGAAAGAGAGUACAUCGCUUUCUAAACCGCACUCAGUGAAUAGGAGAUUUAGGGCAUUGCCAUGACAAUUCUAAUUGUUGGAACUUCAUUCUUAUUACGGUUUUUUAUUCAGGUGGAUUCACCCUAAUGGUGCACACAGAAGAAUCACUUUAAUUGCUGGGCUAGAUGUGGAGAACAUGUAGCCAAGAAUCUUCUUCUUUUUGUUGAGGUAACAAAACCCACGGUCAAGGGGGUAUAAGUGGAAUUACAUUUUAUGGGUAGACAGAGAUUGGUAUGAAGGAAGACAUGUACUCUUUGACCUCUUGAGUCUCUCUCUAACAAAUGACACACAUAUUUUAAAUUAGAGGAGAUUCCAAUUACUGUGAAAUUAUGGGUCUAUACGAGCUCCCUCUAUGGGCUAAUUUGAUGUCUGCAAAUUCCUUUUUUUCUCUCUCUCCUUCCAUUUUUCCCCCCAACAAAGGCUCUGUGUAGCCUCUCGGAGAAGGUGGCUGCCUAAGGUUCCUGGGGUUGUGCUCUUUUGAGCGUGUACAAGAUGGCUGCCACAAGGCUGUUUGAAGCUGGCGCGUUUGAAGCUGCCGCGUGUGUUUGAAGCUGCCGCAUUUGAAGCUGCCGGGCUUGAAGCUGGCGCGUGUGUUUGAAGCUGCGGCAUUUGAUGUUGCUGAGGACGUUUGUAAAUUUGAGACAGACUUUAAUAUUGUUAGACGGUAGGGGAGUCCUUUUCAACCCCUUUUCAUUUUUUUUACUUGAACUUUUAAAAAACUUUUAUUUAACUUUUUUCCCCCAACUAUUUUAACUACUUAUGUCAGCCGAGGAAUGCUGUGAUUCACAGCCAUUAUUGUAAGGAGGCUGUUAUGUAUUUUUAGUGCUUCUGGGACCGUAGGAAUUCUUGAGUGACUUUGACUGUAUGCAACAAUGUGGAGAAUAAUCCCAACUGUGAAAAGUGCUACUGGGGUGGAAAAGUACAGAAUAAUUUUGACAAAGGGCAAUCUCCUUGUUGCUCGUAGAAGAAAGCCGAGUUGGAUUGUGGAAUUUAACUUAAUGGCUGUGAUGCACAAUUGAUACUUUGUCUGGAUUUUAGUGAUCUCUUCUUACAUUUGGCUUCCUAAAUCAACUUCAUAUCUUCAACAGUCAAAGUUGUGCAUUAAACUUCUUUGUAUCUUUGAUCAAUAGUGGUGCUGAAUUGUUUUUUGAGGGGGUUGGGGGUUGUUAAUUCAUUCUUAUUAGACAUGGAUAUCUUUUUACACAUUUGAUUUUAUUUAUAAUCUAAUCAAAAGGCUCAUAUAUAUUAAGUUUAUUUGGCAACAUCAUAAUCUUUUAAAAAAGAAACAGAAAUUAGGCAUAGUUGUGUUCAUAAAGUGUUUUGUGGAGACUCAAAGAAGUCUUAGAUUUCACUUUGUCCAACCCAGGUACAAAAAGAAUCCCCACAAUAGUAUACCAAAUAAUUGAUUGUUCAAGGUUGAAUGGGACUUGCUUCUUAAAAGAUAGAGUUCUGUUGUUCUUCCUUAAGUGUUUCUUUUUAUUAUUAUAAAAGAUCACAUACCCCUAUUUCCUUUCAUUGAUAAAAGGUAUACAAUUCAAGGAAGAAGACUUGGAUGAUCAAGUUAUUGUUUUAGUUCAAUGACAUUCUGCAAAGAACUGAGAGCUUAAUGUUUCACCAAGGAAAUUGAAUUCCUUCCAUUUGAAUUGUCUCAGGAAGAUUCUGAAGGUCAUCUGGCAAGAUAAGGUACCAGACACUGAGGUCCUUUCUUAAGCUGAAGCACCAAAGCCUUCCAACUCCACUGGAGAGAGCUCAACUCCAAUGGCUGGCCACGUUAUUGGAAUGCCAAACCCACAGUUGCCUGAAAGACUAUUUCACCAGGUAGGGAAAUUGAGGCCCAGGAAGGUGGAAUGACUGACUUACCAAGAAUUGCACUGAGAGCAGACAGGAGAGGUAGAAUUUGAACCUAGAUCCUCUAAUACCAGACCAAGUACCUUUCCAUUGUACCAAGUUAUUAACUGAAUGACAGCAAGAAAACAAGAGGAAAUGAUAAGAUUUGGGAAGAAAUCAUGGUUUUAUUUCAUUCCUAGGCUGAAUUUGCACCAUUUUGUUUUAUUCUGUAAAAAUGUCUGCCUUUGACCUCUUCUGAAAUGCACAUAUGAUCCUAUUUACACAUGGAAAUCCUCUGGCUUACACCCAGGCAAGCAGGCAUGACAAAGAGUAAUAAUAUUUUUAUAUUAACAUGUUAUGAAAGCUUAAUUUCAUAUUGGUAGUACUGUUGUUGCUUUUUGCUUUCAAAAUAUAUUAGCUAAGAUAUUAUUAUCUUGAUUAUCAUUAUACUUGAAUGUGGAUUACUCUUUAAUUAUAGUCUUUAACCAAACUAUCAAGGGCACUUCUUGACCAAUCAGUUUGCUUGCCCUUGAUACCAAUGAUCCUUCCAUUUGCCUGGAAAAGAAGGUGGUGAAAACAACAGCAUCUGCUACCUUCACUUUAUAAAUAAAAUAUUGUGAGUAAUUGUUUUAAUAAUGUGGAGGAAUUUACAUAUCUUUUAUUUUAGAAAUUUCAAGGAAGUCCCUUCAUUUCAGUAGUACAAGUAGCAAAAUCAAUUCUGUGUUGCUUCAUGAUCUGAGAUUUGCUCAUUCUGGCUCAAUCCUGAAGUUUUCUUUUGUAAAUGUGCCAGUUAUAUGCUUUUUGCAUAAUGGCCAAGCUUUUCAUAACAAUAAUAGCCCACACGUGUAUAGUACAUUCCAUUUUGCAACAGGCAUUUCUUGCCACGACUUUAUGGAAAAAGUAGCAGUAUCCCACUUCACAUAUAAGGAAACUGAGCCUGACAGAAGUAAGGUGACUGGUCCAUCAUCACACAGAUGCUGUGGUAUGAAAACCGAUAUUCCAAUCUAGCAUUUUUUACUCUAAGACUGAUGCUUUUGCAACUAUAUCAUGUGAUCUUUGUGCACAGUAGUACUCAUAUACUUUAUCCUCUUUCUUUUUUAUUCAUGUAAAUAAAAUAUUGACCAAUGGUGAAAACUUGAA